AGUGAACGCUGGCGGUAGGCCUAACACAUGCAAGUCGAACGGCAGCACAGAGGAGCUUGCUCCUUGGGUGGCGAGUGGCGGACGGGUGAGGAAUACAUCGGAAUCUACUCUGUCGUGGGGGAUAACGUAGGGAAACUUACGCUAAUACCGCAUACGACCUACGGGUGAAAGCAGGGGAUCUUCGGACCUUGCGCGAUUGAAUGAGCCGAUGUCGGAUUAGCUAGUUGGCGGGGUAAAGGCCCACCAAGGCGACGAUCCGUAGCUGGUCUGAGAGGAUGAUCAGCCACACUGGAACUGAGACACGGUCCAGACUCCUACGGGAGGCAGCAGUGGGGAAUAUUGGACAAUGGGCGCAAGCCUGAUCCAGCUAUACCGCGUGGGUGAAGAAGGCCUUCGGGUUGUAAAGCCCUUUUGUUGGGAAAGAAAUCCAGCUGGCUAAUACCCGGUUGGGAUGACGGUACCCAAAGAAUAAGCACCGGCUAACUUCGUGCCAGCCGCCGCAGUAA
rnacentral:rRNA from 1 species